rnacentral:rRNA from 1 species
UUAACUGGGAUUAGAUACCCCACCAUGUAUGGUCGUUAACAUUGAUGAUUUUGUACCCCAAUCAUCCGCCUGGGAACUACGAGCAAUAGCUUAAAACCCAAAGGACUUGGCGGUGCUUUAGACCCCCCUAGAGGAGCCUGUUCUAGAACUGAUAACCCCCGUUUAACCUCACCACCCUUUGUUUAUCCCGCUUAUAUACCACCGUCGUCAGCUUACCCUAUGAAGGGAAAAUAGUAAGCAUAAAUGGCAAAGCCAAAAACGUCAGGUCGAGGUGUAGCGCAUGGGGCGGGAAGAAAUGGGCUACAUUCUCUGCCAUAGAGAACACGAAUUGUAAUUUGAAAAAAUUACCUGAAGGAGGAUUUAGCAGUAAGUAAGGAAUAGAGUGCCUCACUGAAAACGGCCUGGCGCGUAAAAA